GACGAACGCUGGCGGCGUGCUUAACACAUGCAAGUCGAGCGGAAAGGCCACUUCGGUGGUACUCGAGCGGCGAACGGGUGAGUAACACGUGAGUAAUCUGCCCCUGGCUUUGGGAUAGCCACCGGAAACGGUGAUUAAUACCGGAUAUGACCACUUCACGCAUGUGUUGUGGUGGAAAGUUUUUCGGCCAGGGAUGUGCUCGCGGCCUAUCAGCUUGAUGGUGAGGUAAUGGCUCACCAUGGCUUCGACGGGUAGCCGGCCUGAGAGGGUGACCGGUCACACUGGGACUGAGACACGGCCCAGACUCCUACGGGAGGCAGCAGUGGGGAAUAUUGGACAAUGGGCGGAAGCCUGAUCCAGCAGCGCCGCGUGAGGGAUGACGGCCUUCGGGUUGUAAACCUCUUUCAGUACCGACGAAGCGCAAGUGACGGUAGGUACAGAAGAAGCACCGGCCAACUACGUGCCAGCAGCCGCCGUAAUAC
rnacentral:rRNA from 1 species